GGUGGUUUGAUAUAAAGCUCUACACAAGAUCCUCUCCCAGUGACGAUUUAACAUUUGUGAUAGCUGUGCCAAUCGAGCUGUUAUGCUUUCUAUGCAAUGCAACACCACCGUGCUGAAGGCCAAAAGCUCUUCUAUAAUUGGCAAGGCCACAGAGGGGACAGCCGGUGCCACAAGAGGCGGCCUGGGAACGCGCCACAGAGGGGCCGCGCCCCAGCGUGCAGGCGCCCGGGCUCGAACCUGGGCGGGUGCGCUCCCCAGCUGGGAGUCGCACCAACCGAGCUGUUGUGCUUUCUAUGCAAUGCAACACCACCGUGCUGAAGGCCAAAAGCUCUUCUAUAAUUGGUCCUGCCCAUUUCUUUUCUUUUCUUUUCUUCUUUUUUUUCCCCACUUCAUUCCUAUUUACUUCAAUAGAUCUAAUUUAUAUAGCGUCCCUACUGCAAUACAAUAUGAACUGUGUUAUCCGAUGUGUAUAAUAUACCUCAGAAAAAAAAGUAGUCGCUUACAAACUAUAUAAAUAAAAAACCAUCUCCUCCUA